GACGAACGCUGGCGGCGUGCUUAACACAUGCAAGUCGAGUCGGUAAGGCCCUUUCGGGGGUACACGAGCGGCGAACGGGUGAGUAACACGUGGGUGACCUGCCCUCAGCUCUGGGAUAAGCCUGGGAAACCGGGUCUAAUACCGGAUAUGACUCCAUGACGCAUGUUGUGGGGUGGAAAGCCUUGUGCGGCUGAGGAUGGGCCCGCGGCCUAUCAGCUUGUUGGUGGGGUGANGGCCUACCAAGGCGACGACGGGUAGCCGGCCUGAGAGGGCGACCGGCCACACUGGGACUGAGACACGGGCCCAGACUCCUACGGGAGGCAGCAGUGGGGAAUCUUGCGCAAUGGGCGAAAGCCUGACGCAGCGACGCCGCGUGAGGGAUG
rnacentral:rRNA from 1 species